AUUGAACGCUGGCGGCAGGCCUAACACAUGCAAGUCGGGCGGUAACAGGGAGAAGCUUGCUUCUCUGCUGACGAGCGGCGGACGGGUGAGUAAUGUAUGGGGAUCUGCCUGAUGGAGGGGGAUAACUACUGGAAACGGUAGCUAAUACCGCAUAAUGUCUCCGGACCAAAGCGGGGGACCUUCGGGCCUCGCACCAUCAGAUGAACCCAUAUGGGAUUAGCUUGUAGGUGAGGUAACGGCUCACCUAGGCGACGAUCCCUAGCUGGUCUGAGAGGAUGAUCAGCCACACUGGGACUGAGACACGGCCCAGACUCCUACGGGAGGCAGCAGUGGGGAAUAUUGCACAAUGGGCGCAAGCCUGAUGCAGCCAUGCCGCGUGUAUGAAGAAGGCCUUCGGGUUGUAAAGUACUUUCAGUCGGGAGGAAGGUGUUAAGGUUAAUAACCUUAACAAUUGACGUUACCGACAGAAGAAGCACCGGCUAACUCCGUG
rnacentral:rRNA from 1 species